rnacentral:rRNA from 1 species
UACGUAGGGUGCAAGCGUUGUCCGGAAUUAUUGGGCGUAAAGAGCUCGUAGGCGGUUUGUCGCGUCUGCUGUGAAAACUCGGGGCUUAACUCCGGGCCUGCAGUGGGUACGGGCAGACUAGAGUGCGGUAGGGGAGACUGGAAUUCCUGGUGUAGCGGUGAAAUGCGCAGAUAUCGGGAGGAACACCAAUGGCGAAGGCAGCUCGCUGGGACGUUACUGACGCUGAGACGCGAAAGCGUGGGGAGCAAACAGG